AUUAAAGUUGUUGCGGUUAAAAAGCUCGUAGUCGGACUUGUGUCCCACGCUGCCGGUUCACCGCCCGUCGGUGUUUAACUGGCAUGCACGUGCGGACGUCCUGCCGGUGGCCCGAGCCGGCGCGGGUCUCGCACCUGUCGUCCGGGGAAGGCCUAUCAUACCCGUCGCGGUGCUCUUAACCGAGUGUCUCGAUGGGCCGGCACGUUUACUUUGAACAAAUUAGAGUGCUUAAAGCAGGCAGCAUCCGCCUGAAUACCGAGUGCAUGGAAUAAUGGAAUAGGACCUCGGUUCUAUUUUGUUGGUUUUCGGAAUCCCCGAGGUAAUGAUCAAUAGGGACAGACGGGGGCAUUCGUAUUGCGACGUUAGAGGUGAAAUUCUUGGAUCGUCGCAAGACGGACYGAAGCGAAAGCAUUUGCCAAGAAUGUUUUCUCUGAUCAAGAACGAAAGUUAGAGGUUCGAAGGCGAUCAGAUACCGCCCUAGUUCUAACCAUAAACGAUGCCAGCCAGCAAUCCGCCGAAGUUCCUCCGAUGACUCGGCGGGCGGCUUCCGGGAAACCAAAGCUUUUGGGUUCCGGGGGAAGUAUGGUUGCAAAGCUGAAACUUAAAGGAAUUGACGGAAGGGCACCACCAGGAGUGGAGCCUGCGGCUUAAUUUGACUCAACACGGGAAACCUCACCAGGCCCGGACACCGGGAGGAUUGACAGAUUGAGAGCUCUUUCUUGAUUCGGUGGGUGGUGGUGCAUGGCCGUUCUUAGUUGGUGGAGCGAUUUGUCUGGUUAAUUCCGAUAACGAACGAGACUCUAGCCUGCUAACUAGUCGCUUCCGGUAUCCCCUGUGCUACCGGCGACUCCUGAUCUUCUUAGAGGGACAGGCGGCUUCUAGCCGCACGAGAUUGAGCAAUAACAGGUCUGUGAUGCCCUUAGAUGUYCUGGGCCGCACGCGCGCUACACUGAAGGAAUCAGCGUGUCCUCCCUGGCCGAAAGGUCCGGGUAACCCGCUGAACCUCCUUCGUGCUAGGGAUUGGGGCUUGCAAUUGUUCCCCAUGAACGAGGAAUUCCCAGUAAGCGCGAGUCAUAAGCUCGCGUUGAUUACGUCCCUGCCCUUUGUACACACCGCCCGUCGCUACUACCGAUUGAAUGAUUUAGUGAGGUCUUCGGACCGGUGGGCGAGGGGGUUCUCCUCCUCGAUUCCACCGGGAAGAUGCCCAAACUUGAUCAUUUAGAGGAAGUAAAAGUCGUAACAAGGUUUCCGUAGGUGAACC
rnacentral:rRNA from 1 species